GUGUGUGUGUGUGUGUGUGUGUGUGUGUUGAGAUGCUUUUUGUUUUUGUCUUUUUUUUUUUUUCACUGUUUAGCGUUGCGAGGGUUAGGGGCAUGCAGGAAAGGGCCGGUGCUCAAGUUGGGGACCGAAGCCAGGCAGGCGCUGACAAGUCCACCAAGCCUAGACGCGUUCGACGCCCAUUGGACUCGCUGGGUGUCCGUCAUCUCGCCACUGCCAGUGGGCUGAGAGCUCUUGGCCCGCCUCGGAAAGAAACAUGAACCCAGUACUCUGUCGUGGCAAAGUGCCGCACCUUCUGGGGCUUCGGUAGAGAAUGACUACAGUGGGAGAUGCUGUAGAGGAGGAAGGCAUUUAUUUCACAAGAUACUGCUGUCUAAGGUAACCUGAGCAUGUUUCCAGUUCUUGCAGCCUUACAGAACCCAGGGAAUCCACCUGUCUCCAACCUUCCUCAGUAGGUGACAGGCCCAUCUAACUGCUCUCUAGCCAGUCUUCUGUAUUCCUGUUGCUUUUACCUUUGCUCGUGUCAACAAGGAGUUUCUGUGGGCUGCAAUCAAGAUGAUGACUGGAGCUGCAGUCUCACCUGAGGCCCAGCAGAAGGGAAGGAUCUGCUUCCAAG
rnacentral:lncRNA from 1 species